rnacentral:rRNA from 1 species
ACAAUGGACGAAAGUCUGAUGGAGCAACGCCGCGUGAGUGAAGAAGGGUUUCGGCUCGUAAAACUCUGUUGUUAAAGAAGAACAUAUCUGAGAGUAACUGUUCAGGUAUUGACGGUAUUUAACCAGAAAGCCACGGCUAACUACGUGCCAGCAGCCGCGGUAAUACGUAGGUGGCAAGCGUUGUCCGGAUUUAUUGGGCGUAAAGCGAGCGCAGGCGGUUUUUAAGUCUGAUGUGAAAGCCUUCGGCUCAACCGAAGAAGUGCAUCGGAAACUGGAAACUUGAGUGCAGAAGAGGACAGUGGAACUCCAUGUGUAGCGGUGAAAUGCGUAGAUAUAUGGAAGAACACCAGUGGCGAAGGCGGCUGUCUGGUCUGUAACUGACGCUGAGGCUCGAAAGUAUGGGUAGCAAACAGGAUUAGAUACCCUGGUAG